CGAAGCGUGCGAUUGGAUUGCACGUCUAAGCAGUAAGGCUGAGUAUUAGGCAAAUCCGGUACUCAUUAAGGCUGAGCUGUGAUGGGGAGAAGACAUUGUGUCUUCGAGUCGUUGAUUUCACACUGCCGAGAAAAGCCUCUAGAUAGAAAAUAGGUGCCCGUACCGCAAACCGACACAGGUAGUCAAGAUGAGAAUUCUAAGGUGAGCGAGCGAACUCUCGUUAAGGAACUCGGCAAAAUGACCCCGUAACUUCGGGAGAAGGGGUGCUCUUUAGGGUUAACGCCCAGAAGAGCCGCAGUGAAUAGGCCCAAGCGACUGUUUAUCAAAAACACAGGUCUCUGCUAAACCGUAAGGUGAUGUAUAGGGGCUGACGCCUGCCCGGUGCUGGAAGGUUAAGAGGAGUGGUUAGCUUCUGCGAAGCUACGAAUCGAAGCCCCAGUAAACGGCGGCCGUAACUAUAACGGUCCUAAGGUAGCGAAAUUCCUUGUCGGGUAAGUUCCGACCCGCACGAAAGGCGUAACGAUUUGGGCACUGUCUCAACGAGAGACUCGGUGAAAUCAUAGUACCUGUGAAGAUGCAGGUUACCCGCGACAGGACGGAAAGACCCCGUGGAGCUUUACUGUAGCCUGAUAUUGAAAUUCGGCACAGCUUGUACAGGAUAGGUAGGAGCCUUUGAAACGUGAGCGCUAGCUUACGUGGAGGCGCUGGUGGGAUACUACCCUAGCUGUGUUGGCUUUCUAACCCGCACCACUUAUCGUGGUGGGAGACAGUGUCAGGCGGGCAGUUUGACUGGGGCGGUCGCCUCCUAAAAGGUAACGGAGGCGCUCAAAGGUUCCCUCAGAAUGGUUGGAAAUCAUUCAUAGAGUGUAAAGGCAUAAGGGAGCUUGACUGCGAGACCUACAAGUCGAGCAGGGUCGAAAGACGG
rnacentral:rRNA from 1 species